rnacentral:tRNA from 1 species
CCGACGAUAGCUCAGUUGGAAGAGCAUCUGACUGUAAUAAUAACCGCCAUCAGGAGGUCCCCGGUUCGAACCCGGGUCGUCGGA